CGUUUUAUAAUUACUCUUUAGAUUUAAUUUCUCCCUCUCAUUUCCCAGUUCUUCAUAGAUCAUGAAGCUUGAAACCAAGUUAAUUUUGGCUUCAAGUGUGGAUAUGGUUUUAAAUUAAUAUAAAAAUCUUAAUUUUUGUUGCCCUUGUCCCUAGUGUUUUGUUGCAACUGACCUUCUGCCUACAUCUGUUCAUAAUCUUCUACUUUAACACACAAACAAAGUUGGUCUGUCUUUUGUUUUGUUUUUUUGCUCAAUUUAUAUGGAUUUCCACAAGGACUGUGUGUAUGAAACAGCAUUUCAUUUCUUUAUAUUUUUUUCCCUGCUUUCUUGUUGAAUCUGUGCUAAUGAAAGUUGGGUGCCUUCAGGUGCAGCAAUGUGCCUCAACUGCUUCUAGUGUGGGUUUAAGAUAAAGGGAUUUCAGAUUUCAUUGAUCCAUGUAAGCUCUGAAUGUCACAUUUGCACUCUGCCUUGUCAAUUUUUACACCACUCUUUUAAUUGGACACGGUCAAUUUGUAUUUGGAGAAUAUCAAGUUGACAAUUGCUCUCAGGAAAAUCAGUACUUGUGGUUUAAUGAACAAUCACUUGAGUCCUUUGCCAACAGUUAAGCUGCUCAGUACUAUUUGAAUCCAAUGAUUUUAUCACAAUCUUAGAUUUUAAAUUUUUUUUUGUGCUCCUGUAUACAUGUCAUGAUUUUUAAUAAAGUUGCUUUUAAGGUA